rnacentral:rRNA from 1 species
AUUGAACGCUGGCGGCAGGCCUAACACAUGCAAGUCGAGCGAGCGUCGGACGGGUGAGUAAUGUAUGGGCAUCUGCCUGAUAUAGGGGGAUAACUACUGGAAAAGGUUGCUACUACCGCAUACUAUCUGAUGAACCCCCAUGGGAUUAGCUAGUAGGUGGGGUAAAGGGUCACCUAGGCGACGAUCCGUAGCCGGUCUGAGAGGAUGCGCAGCCACACUGGGACUGAGAAACGGCACAGACGCCUACGGGAGGCAGAAGUGGGGAAUAUUGCACAAUGGGCGCAAGCCUGAUGCAGCCAUGCCGCGUGUAUGAAGAAGGCCUUGGGGUUGUAAAGUACUUUCAGCGGGGAGGCGUUACCCGCAGAAGAAGCACCGGCUAACUCCGUGCCAGCAGCCGCGGUAAUUC